rnacentral:rRNA from 1 species
CCCCCCUACGGGAGCAGCAGUGAGGAAUAUUGGUCAAUGGGCGCGAGCCUGAACCAGCCAAGUCGCGUGAGGGAAGACGGUCCUAUGGAUUGUAAACCUCUUUUGUCAGGGAACAAAGGCGGGGACGUGUCCCCGGAUGAGUGUACCUGAAGAAAAAGCAUCGGCUAACUCCGUGCCAGCAGCCGCGGUAAUACGGAGGAUGCGAGCGUUAUCCGGAUUUAUUGGGUUUAAAGGGUGCGCAGGCGGUCUGGUAAGUCAGCGGUCAAAGCCCGGGGCUCAACCCCGGCCCGCCGU